rnacentral:rRNA from 1 species
CUCAUAUUAAAAGAUAUAAAAUUUUAAUCAAUAACGAGAGUGACGGGCGAUGUGUACACACUUCAGAGCCAAUAUCAGUUAAAUUAAAUAAUUUAAAUUACUAUCAAAUCCACCUUCAUUAAAAUAUUACAAAAUUAAAUCCAUAAUAAAAAAAAAUUAUUGUAACCCAUCAUACACUUAAUUAUAAGCUGCACCUUGACCUGAAAUAAAUUUUAAUAAAAAAACAAGAAAAUUUUUUCUCCAAAAAGAUUUUCUGAUAACGGAGAUAUACAAACAAAUAAAUUAAGUAAAGUAAAUCGUGUACUAUCAAUCAUGAGAUAGGUUCCUCUGAAUGGAAUGAAAUACCGCCAAAUUCUUUGGGUUUAAAGACCUUAACUAAUAAUACCCAGGUAAAACAAAAUUUACAUUUAAAAUAAUA